AUUAAGGGCGUAUGGUGGAUGCCUUGAUACAAGAAGUCGAUAAAGGACGGUGCUUUCGACUCUGAUAAGCCUCGGGGACUCGUCUAAGCGAGAUUGAUCCGGGGAUUUCCGAAUGGGGUAACCCAUCUAUAGGAUAUUAUUAUAUUCUGUGGAUAUUCCUAUGAGUAGCAUUAUAGGAAAGAAGACCUGGCGAAUUGAAACAUCUUAGUAGCCAGAGGAAAAGAAAACAAACAAAACCAGCGCGUAGCGCUGGUGUGAUUCCCUAAGUAGCGGCGAGCGAAAAGGGAUAAGCCUAGAUCUUUUUUGCUGAAUCUAAAGCUGAAAAGAAGGACUUGUCUUUCUUGUAAGUUUAAGAUAAAAGGAUUACAGUCCAUAUGCAAAAAAGGUGUUAUAAGAUAAUUUUUUCCUAAAGCUGUAAAUUUAGGGUAAAGCGAGAUUAGAAUACAAUUUCCAUAGCAGAAAGACCCUGGAACGGGCCGCCAAAGAAGGUAAAAGCCCUGUAUGCGAAAUGGAUUGUAUGCUUUAUUUAAAUUGUCUUAAGUAGUACAAGAUAAGUGAAAUCUUGUAUGAAUUUACCUGAACUACAUAAGGUAAGGCUAAAUACUUCUUGUAUUCGAUAGUGAACUAGUACCGUGAGGGAAAGGUGAAAAGCAUCCUUUUAAAAGGAGAUGAAAUAGUAUCUGAAACCAUAUGCCUACAACGAGUGGAACUCCGCCGUUAGUGCGGGUGACCGCGUGCCUAUUGAAGAAUGAGCCAACGAGUUAGUUUUCAAAAGCUCUGCUUAAGUCUGUUUUUUAGUACGGAAAUAAGCAUAGGGAAACCGAGUCUUAAUACGGCGACAAAAAGUUUUUGGAACUAGACCCGAAGCCAGGUGAGCUAUUCAUGGCCAGGGUGAGUCUGCCGUAACAGGCAGAGGAGGCCCGAACCUGUUUGCGUCGCAAAGCAAUUGGAUGAGCUGUGAAUAGAGGCGAAAAACCAAACGAACCUGGCGAUAGCUGGUUCUCCCCGAAAUAGCUUUAGGGCUAGCGUUUUUUAAUAUUUUUGUGGGGGUAGAGCACUGAAUGGAAUUGGAUGACGUUUCGUCUACCUCUUCCAAUCAAACUCCGAAUACCACAAGAACUUAUAAAAAGCAGUCAGACUGUGAGGGCUAAGCUUCAUAGUCGAAAGGGAAACAGCCCAGAUCGUCAUUUAAGGCCUCAAAAUAUAUACUAAGUGCAUCAAAGGAUGUAGUUUGCCGAUGACAGAUAGGAGGUUAGCUUAGAGGCAGCUAUCCUUUAAAGAGUGCGUAACAGCUCACUAUCAUAUCCGCCUUAGGCGGAUUGGCGAACUGCGCCGAAAAUUAUCGAGGCUUAAGUAUAUUGCCGAAGAUACGAUCCACCUUUAAGGAACGUUCUACGUUUCUAGGUGGAGGUAGGGGAGUGUUCUAAAUCCAUUGAAGCUUUGAUGUAAGUCAGAGUGGAGGAUUUAGAAGUAAGAAUGUUGGCAUAAGUAACAAGAUCCCGGUGAAAAUACCGGGAGGCCUAAUUUUCAAGGUUUCCUAGGCAAUGGAAAACAUCCUAGGGUUAGUCGAUCCUAAGCCGUAGCCGAAAGGUGAAGGCAAUGGGAAAACGGUUAAUAUUCCGUUACCAAGAAGAGUUUUUUAGUGAUGGAGCAACAAGGUUUUUUCAAGGUUAGGCGGCUUUAAAAGAUUUGCCGUUCAAGCCCUAAAAGCUCUUGCAGGCAAAUCCGCAAGAUAAAAAGCUUAAUAAAGGCAAGUAAAAUUCUUUCCCUUGUGGAAAGGAAAUCUAGUCGAAAGAAGCCUUCGAGAAAAACUUCUAAACUCAAAUUCUUUUUGUUCGUACCGCAAACCAACACAGGUGAAAGUUCUCAAAUAAGAGAAAAGGCAAUCGGGAGAACUCUCUUUAAGGAACUCGGCAAAAAAGUGUCCGUAACUUAGGAAUAAGGACUUCCGCCGCAAGGCGGACGCAGCAAAUGAUGCCAAGCGACUGUUUAUCAAAAACACAGGUCCCUGCAACUUAAAUCGUAAGAUGAAGUAUAGGGGCUGACGCCUGGCCAGUGUCAGAAGGUUAAGAAGGUGAGGUGUAAGCUUUAUCUUCAAGCCCUGAUGAACGCCAGCGAUAACUAUAAUCGUUCUAAGGUAGCGAAAUUCCUUGUCAGGUAAGUUCUGACCCGCACGAACGGCAUAACGACUUGGCAACUGUCUACAAAGAGAGACCCGGUGAACUUGCAUGGAGCGUAAAGAUGCGCUCUACCUGCGACUAGACGGAUAGACCCCGUGGAGCUUUACUAUAGUUUGAUAUUGAGCUUUUUUUGACUAUGCGUAGCAUAGAGGGGAGACUUUGAUUUCUGCCUUUUGGGGCAGAAGGAGUCACAAGUGAAAUACCCUCCUUAGUUAAGAUUAGUUCUAAUCCCUGCGUAAAGCCGUAGGGAGACAGUGUCUUUCGGUUAGUUUGACUGGGGUGGUCGCCUCCCAAAGAGUAACGGAGGCGUUUACCAAGGUUUUCUUAUCCCGGAUGGAAACCGGGAUUUAAAGUGCAUAGGCAUAAGAAAGCUUUACUGCAAGGACUACAAUCUGCGCAGUCACGAAAGUGGAACUAAGUGAACCGACGAUUUGGAUGUAGAUCCAUCGGAGACCAUCGGAUAAAAGUUACCCCGGGGAUAACNNNNNNNNNNNNNNNNNNNNNNNNNNNNNNNNNNNUGGUUCGGCACCUCGAUGUCGGCUCAUCGCAUCCUGGGACUGAAGUCGGCCCCAAGGGUUUGGCUGUUCGCCAAUUAAAGCGGUACGCGAGCUGGGUUCAAACCGUCGCAAGACAGGUUGGUCCAUAUCUGUCGCAGGCGUUGUCCUCUGAGGGAAAUCAUCUCUAGUACGAGAGGACCGAGAUGAAUAAACCUCUGGUGUACCAGUUGUGGCAUCAGCCGCAUUGCUGGGUAGCUACGUUUAUUUAGAUAAAUGCUGAAAGCAUAUAAGCGUGAAGCUAUACCCAAGAUUAGAGGACUAGUCCCUUGUAGAUGACAAGGUUGAUAGGCUUUAGGUGUAAUACCCGUAAGGGUUUUAGCCAAGAAGUACUAAUAGACAUCCGUAUA
rnacentral:rRNA from 1 species